GACGAACGCUGGCGGCGUGCUUAACACAUGCAAGUCGAACGGAAAGGCCCUGCUUUUGUGGGGUGCUCGAGUGGCGAACGGGUGAGUAACACGUGAGUAACCUGCCCUUGACUUUGGGAUAACUUCAGGAGACUGGGGCUAAUACCGGAUAGGAGCUCCUGCUGCAUGGUGGGGGUUGGAAAGUUUCGGCGGUUGGGGAUGGACUCGCGGCUUAUCAGCUUGUUGGUGGGUAGUGGCUUACCAAGGCUUUGACGGGUAGCCGGCCUGAGAGGGUGACCGGCCACAUUGGGACUGAGAUACGGCCCAGACUCCUACGGGAGGCAGCAGUGGGGAAUAUUGCACAAUGGGCGGAAGCCUGAUGCAGCAACGCCGCGUGCGGGAUGACGGCCUUCGGGUUGUAAACCGCUUUCGCCUGUGACGAAGCGUGAGUGACGGUAAUGGGUAAAGAAGCACCGGCUAACUACGUG
rnacentral:rRNA from 1 species